rnacentral:rRNA from 1 species
UACGUAGGCGGCGAGCGUUGUUCGGAGUUACUGGGCGUAAAGGGUGUGUAGGCGGUUGUUUAAGUUUGGUGUGAAAUCUCCCGGCUCAACUGGGAGGGUGCGCCGAAUACUGAAUGACUUGGAGUGCGGGAGAGGUGAGUGGAAUUCCUGGUGUAGCGGUGAAAUGCGUAGAUAUCAGGAGGAACACCGGUGGUGUAGACGGCUCACUGGACCGUAACUGACGCUGAGACACGAAAGCGUGGGUAGCAAACAGG